rnacentral:rRNA from 1 species
GACUGGGAUAACUCCGGGAAACCGGGGCUAAUACCGGAUAAUAUCAAGAGCUGCAUGGCUUUUGGUUGAAAGGCGGCUUCGGCUGUCACUUAUAGAUGGACCCGCGGCGCAUUAGCUAGUUGGUGGGGUAACGGCUCACCAAGGCCACGAUGCGUAGCCGACCUGAGAGGGUGAUCGGCCACACUGGGACUGAGACACGGCCCAGACUCCUACGGGAGGCAGCAGUAGGGAAUCUUCCGCAAUGGACGAAAGUCUGACGGAGCAACGCCGCGUGAGUGAAGAAGGUUUUCGGAUCGUAAAACUCUGUUGUCAGGGAAGAACAAGUAUCGGAGUAACUGCCGGUACCUUGACGGUACCUGACCAGAAAGCCACGGCUAACUACGUGCCAGCAGCCGCGGUAAUACGUAGGUGGCAAGCGUUGUCCGGAAUUAUUGGGCGUAAAGCGCGCGCAGGCGGCCUUUUAAGUCUGAUGUGAAAGCCCCCGGCUCAACCGGGGAGGGUCAUUGGAAACUGGAAGGCUUGAGUGCAGAAGAGAAGAGCGGAAUUCCACGUGUAGCGGUGAAAUGCGUAGAGAUGUGGAGGAACACCAGUGGCGAAGGCGGCUCUUUGGUCUGUAACUGACGCUGAGGCGCGAAAGCGUGGGGAGCGAACAGGAUUAGAUACCCUGGUAGUCCACGCCGUAAACGAUGAGUGCUAAGUGUUGGGGGGUUUCCGCCCCUCAGUGCUGCAGCUAACGCAUAAGCACUCC